rnacentral:Y_RNA from 1 species
AGCUGGUCUGAGUGCAGUGGUGUUUACAACUAAUUGAUCACAACCAGUUACAGAUUUCUUUGUUCCUUUUCCAUUCCCACCGCUUCACUUGACUAACCUAAA